UAACUCUCCUCUCUCCAGGGCAUCUAACACCAGACUGGUAUAACCCUCCUCUCUCCUCUCUCCAGGGCAUCUAACACCAGACUGGUAACCCUCCUCUCUCCUCUCUCCAGGACAUCUAACACCAGACUGGUAUAACCCUCCUCUCUCCUCUCUCCAGGGCAUCUAACACCAGACUGGUAUAACCCUCCUCUCUCUCCUCUCUCUCCAGGGCAUCUAACACCAGACUGGUAUAACCCUCCUCUCUCCUCUCUCCAGGGCAUCUAACACCAGACUGGUAGCAGCUGUUGGCAGCAGGAACGGAACAGAGGAGACUAAACU
rnacentral:lncRNA from 13 species